UACGGAGGGGGCAAGCGUUAUUCGGAAUUAUUGGGCGUAAAGGGCGCGUAGGCGGCUAGAUGUGUCAAAGGUGAAAUCCCUCGGCUCAACUGAGGAACUGCCUUUGAAACUGUCUGGCUUGAGGCCGGGAGAGGGUAGCGGAAUUCCCAGUGUAGCGGUGAAAUGCGUAGAUAUUGGAAAGAACACCGAUGGCGAAGGCACUCUACUGGGCUAUUACUGACACUCAGAGACGAAAGCUAGGGGAGCAAAUGGG
rnacentral:rRNA from 1 species